rnacentral:rRNA from 1 species
GACGAACGCUGGCGGCGUGCUUAACACAUGCAAGUCGAACGAAGAGCGAUGGAAGCUUGCUUCUAUCAAUCUUAGUGGCGAACGGGUGAGUAACGCGUAAUCAACCUGCCCUUCAGAGGGGGACAACAGUUGGAAACGACUGCUAAUACCGCAUACGAUCUAAUCUCGGCAUCGAGGAUAGAUGAAAGGUGGCCUCUACAUGUAAGCUAUCACUGAAGGAGGGGAUUGCGUCUGAUUAGCUAGUUGGAGGGGUAACGGCCCACCAAGGCGAUGAUCAGUAGCCGGUCUGAGAGGAUGAACGGCCACAUUGGGACUGAGACACGGCCCAGACUCCUACGGGAGGCAGCAGUGGGGAAUCUUCCGCAAUGGACGAAAAGCUGACGGAGCAACGCCGCGUGAGCGAUGACGGCCUUCGGGUUGUAAAGCUCUGUUAAUCGGGACGAAAGGCCUUCUUGCGAAUAGUGAGAAGGAUUGACGGUACCGGAAUAGAAAGCCACGGCUAACUACGUG